ensembl:lncRNA
CAAAGCACAAAAGCUGCUACAAUGGGUAAACUGGAUUUAACAUAGUGACUCAUCUACACAAAAGGAGGUACGUACAUCUAGCUGCACUUUUUAAAAUUGUUGUUGUCGUUUUUUAAGCAACUGGUUAAAUUAUGCAAGUUACUUGUGGGGUUCAUCAGUGCAUGGGAAACAACUGAACAAUCUGAGAAUAAAUGUUCUUAACAUAAAUAUGUAUGCUUAUAGAUAAAUAAUAAUAGUAAUCACAGGAUUUCAUCAUCUACAAGAAAUGAUAACAUGAAACGAUUAAGAGAAACCUGAGAAUUUCUGACACCGAGCACAAUAGCCAAUAGUGAAUGGCCAUGAUGAUGAGACCCAAUUGUUAAGUAGAAUUUUUUGCACUGACUCAGGAAUAUUUCACAGUUGGAUCUGUUGUAAAGAACAAUACAAAUACAAAACAUGAUCCAGCCGUCAGACCAGAGCAGUCAGUGGUGUCGACCUGUCAGCCACCUCAAACAUUUGGCCCAUUAAGAAAGAAAAAAGUAGAAUAAGAAGAAAGAAAAAAAAAAAAAAGGAAACACCCUGAGCUGCUGAACCCCUUUUUCCAAGCAAGAAAUACAGAAACAUUUUACUUUUCAACAUACAAAAUGUGUCUCUUCAGUUCCUAAACUCUUACUUAGUGUUGCUGAAAAAGGUGAUGCAACACAACCAUUAUUACUUACAUGCAGCAUACAUGUAAAUAAUGAUUUUCAUGAUCUGAACAUAGAUCCACGUAGAGAGCUUCGUACAUAAUUUAAUACUAUACUAAGUGUGUGUUAACACUAUGACAGUCUGGGAGUCAAAUUCAUCCCAAGGACCACGCUAUGCUCAAAGAAACUAAAAACCCAAGAGCUACAUCUCAGACGCUACAGGCCUCAGUUAGCAUGUUAAAUCUUAAAGUUCAUGACACUUUUUUUUUUUUUAAAUCACCUAACAAGUACAGCUCGUUUUGAAGGUUUUUCCAAAAGACAGCCUCUUCUAACUAAAAAGGACAUGACAACACAGUUUAGGUUUGCAAAAGUGCAUCUGAAUAAGUUACAAGCUUUCUGGAAAAAUGACCUUUGGACAGACGAGACCAAACUAGAGAUGUCGGCACAGCACCACGUUUGGGAAAAACCAAAUGCAGCAAAUCAGUAAAAACACCUCAUACCAAGAUGGUAGAAAGAUGAUGAUUUGGACUCACUUUGCAGCUACAGGACUGAUGCACAUUACGAUCAUUGAGUCGACCACAAACUCCUCUG